rnacentral:rRNA from 1 species
AUGCCGCGGCGCGCCCUUGCUCCCGCGCUCGCCUUGCUGCUCGCAUACUGCUGCAGCUCUGCUAGUGUCGUUACUAGCUGCUUGCUUGUGCGGCUGUUGUUUUGCUACUGUUGCUAUGCCGCUGCUACUGCUCUGCCUUACUGCUGCUCCAGCCGCUACGGCCAAGUGCAGCCGCUGCCUAGUGCCACUGCUAGCUGCUACCGCCAAGUGCUGCUGCUGCUGGCCAUGGCCGUGGUGUGUGUGAGCGUGCUGUGUGUGUGCACGUGUGUGCACAACCAGCCUCACGGCUGUGCCACCAUGCCGGCCCUUGUUUAG